AUUGAACGCUGGCGGCAUGCUUUACACAUGCAAGUCGAACGGUAACAGGGUGCUUGCACCGCUGACGAGUGGCGAACGGGUGAGUAAUGCAUCGGAAUGUACCGUGUAAUGGGGGAUAGCUCGGCGAAAGCCGGAUUAAUACCGCACACGCCCUGAGGGGGAAAGUGGGGGACCGAAAGGCCUCACGUUAUACGAGCAGCCGAUGUCUGAUUAGCUAGUUGGUGAGGUAAAGGCUCACCAAGGCGUCGAUCAGUAGCGGGUCUGAGAGGAUGAUCCGCCACACUGGGACUGAGACACGGCCCAGACUCCUACGGGAGGCAGCAGUGGGGAAUUUUGGACAAUGGGCGCAAGCCCGAUCCAGCCAUGCCGCGUGUCUGAAGAAGGCCUUCGGGUUGUAAAGGACUUUUGUCCGGGAGCAAAUCCUAGUGGUUAAUAACCGCUGGGUCUGAGAGUACCGGAAGAAUAAGCACCGGCUAACUACGUG
rnacentral:rRNA from 1 species